rnacentral:rRNA from 1 species
CUCCAAUAGCGUAUAUUAAAGUUGUUGCNGUUAAAAGCUCGUAGUUGAAUUUCGGGGUCAGUAGGUUGGUCGUGCCACCGGUACGUACUGGUCUCACUGAUUCCUCCUUCCUGAUGAGCUGUAAUGCCAUUAAUUUGGUGUUGCGGGAGACUGGACUGUUACUUUGAAAAAUUAGAGUGUUUAAAGCAGGCUAACGCUUGAAUACAUUAGCAUGGAAUAAUGAAAUAGGACGUUCGAUCUUAUUUUGUUAGGUUUCUAAGAUUGACGUAAUGAUUAAUAGGGAUAGUUGGGGGCAUUAGUAUUCAAUUGUCAGAGGUGAAAUUCUUGGAUUUAUUGAAGACUAACUACUGCGAAAGCAUUUGCCAAGGAUGUUUUCAUUAAUCAAGAACGAAAGUUAGGGGGAUCGAAGACGAUCAGAUACCGUCGUAGUCUUAACCAUAAACUAUGCCGACUAGGGAUCGGAUGAUGUUAAUUUUUUAAUGACUCAUUCGGCGCCUUACG